rnacentral:lncRNA from 1 species
UUGAACAGUCCACAGCACAAGGGAAAAUAUCAACACAUCUUUUUUUUUUUUUUGUAAAGAGAUAGUAAAUAUUAUACAUUUGCAAGACACGUAAUUCUUCAAACACAUAUUUUUCCUUUUUUUUUUUUUUUUUUUUUUACGCUUUAAAAAAGCGAAAAGCAUUCUUAGUUCUGGGGCCAUACGAAACAAGCUGUGGGCUGGAUUGGACCCGUAGUAGGGGACAGCAGAGGCAUUAGAGAAAAGGAACCUGUAUCACUGCAGGAAAGAGACCAAGGAACCUGUAUCGCUGCAGGAAAGAGACCUUUAGAAGGUGAUGUGAGCAGUGAUUUCUACAGAGUGAACAUCUCUGAAUUCCUCUGAUAAUUUAAGACCCUGCAGCACCUGAGUAUCACCGGGUUGCACAUCAGUUCUCAUCCAAUUAGCUUGCAGUUAUAGGAGACAAAAAGGGAUGGCCUCCAUUUACAAGAAAAGCAUCUAAAAGGUUCUCUGCAUCCACAGACAUCAUCAUGUCAACAGGAUGGAGGACAAGAUAAAGAAAGUGACAGAGGUGCAAGCUGCUAUCUCUCAGAAGGGUUUAGAAAAAUUGUCACUUACUACUCCCACUUACAACCCUUCGGCUAUAUUUUUGUUACAUGGUCAAAGCUAGCUACAACAGAAGCAAUGACCAGCUAAAAUUCUGGGUUUGUGUUCAUUUGAGAGAAAACGAGAAUACAUUUUGGGGGGAAACUAGCAGUCUCUGACAUAGAAUAUCGUGACAGAUAGAUGGAUAACAGGUCUUUAAAAGCAACUUUAGUAACUUUCACCUCAUAACACCACAACACUUACUACAUUAGAGACUUGAAGUGUCAGGUGUAAUGAGAUCAAGUACAUGACCUUAAAAUGAUCUUAUUUCAUAAGUUAUUAGAAUCUCAGAUCCAGAUCAGGCUAAAAGAUCACUUAGUAUAAAAAACACAAAGAACAAACAUUCUUCACCAAUGUGUAUCCCAGGUUUUGUUUAAAUACUUCAAGUUAUAUAAUUCUCAGUUUUUUUUGAAAGCCUAUUCUUCAUCUCAACUGCUUUAGAUAAUAUUAAUUUUCAACCAUUUAUUCUAAUCCUGUCUUUUAAAAUGAUGCUAAACAAAUAUUUUCUUUCUUCAUCGAAAUGAUUCUUUAAAAACUAGGAAAUAGCUGCUUUUACCCCUUUAGUGUCAUCCCUAAAAUCACCUUCAGGCUAAAUAAUCUGAAUUUCUUGAACACAAGUUUUAGGUUCAUUAUCACCUGAGUAAUGUCCUUCCUUUAGAUUUCUGGAUGCUCUUGCUUUUGUUAAGGUCAAUCUUAACAUCUGAUACAACAAUAUUUAUUCAUCAUUAAACACAAGACUUUCUUCCUUUCUUCUUUCUUCCUAAUUCAAGCUGAACUAAACAUAACAGAAAUCAUCUGGCAGCUGUUCACAGUACCCUCUCCCUCUUAUCGCCACCCAUCUCCUUCCCAUUGCUUAGAUAAAGAGUAUGUCAUGUGACAAAACCAUGACUCACAAUUACUUCUAUAGUUCAUUUGUCCUGUGUCCUGUAGCAUUAAACCUAAUGAUUUGGACAAGAAAAGACUCACCUGGCUUCAUUUCCUUUUCUGCUGAAUGUCAAUUUCACAUGACCAUGGGGACGAUUCAUUAGCCUCUGAAACUUCCAGGAAGAGGGAAUUUCUUUGCUUUUAAUUUAAAUCAUUUAAACUAUUUUAAAAUAGUCUGAAAAUAAUAUUUUAAAUAAUUAUGCUUAAUAGUACAAUUUAUACACACACAUUGCUAUAUUUAUAUAUAUAUAUGCAUAUGUGCAUAUAUAAGCACUAAUUUCUAAGUAGAAGAAUUUGUUAAUUAAUCACCCUUAAUGGCAAAAUAGCUUCCCAUUAGUCAAGCCUCAGGUUAAUUAAUUCACCAGACGAUGAGUGAUAUAAGUCCUAGUGCUUUCUUCCUAACUACUUACUAUUCCAUCCAGAAGACAUGCUCAAUAUAUCUCUCACUGAACAGCCUGGUUUCUGCUUCUGCGGAGGCUGAAUUUUAGCACUAUAUCUGAUAAACAUUUUCUUGGAAUAAAAAAAAGAAUGUAAUUUUUUUUUUGACACAGACCUAUUUAAUGUUGGUGAGAAUAGUGGGCACCAUUUAGGAUUCAAAAAAAAAGAACUAUUCAGGGAGCAGCCACAGCUUGCCAUUGAAGUUGAAGUAGAUUUCUUAUCAACACACAGAACUCAAUUUUGCCAAGAACCUGAAUCAACCUGCAAAUGAAUUCUUUCCCACAGCCCAUGAAUAAGAACACAGUUUGGAUGAGGCCUUGAUUUUGGCAUUGUGUAAUCCUAAACUAAGAAUCCACUCAAACCCACCUGGACUUUUGACCUAGAAAGCUAAUUAUUGGAUGUUAUUUUUAGCUGUGAAGUUUGUGAUAAUUUGUAAUGCAACAACAGACAAUGUCUAAAAAUGUCAAAUAAAUACCUCCAACUCAACUCGUCAAAAAAUAUUGCUCCUCUCAGUUAUGUUUUGCAACCUUUCCCUUUUAUUUCAUAACAAUUUCAUUGUUUUUGUUGUUGCAGCCAAAAAACUUAGUCAUUCUUACAUCCUCACUUUUUCUCCCAUCUUUGUAGGUGUAGAAUCCACCUCAAAAUCCUAUGGACUCUACUUCUAUAAAAUAUGUAGAAUUUAACCAGUUUUCACUCCUUCACUGUUCUCACCCUGGUCUGAGCCACUAACAUCUCUCACCUUUUAUUGCAACAGUCAACUAACAGGUAGUCACACUUCAACCUUAUCUCACUAGCCUCCUGUGUAUUUUGUGGACACAAUAGUCUUUUCAAAACCUAAGUCAUACCAUAUCUUUUCUCAAAAUCUUGCAUCAUCUCCCCAUUUGAACUCACAAUAAAAGUCUCCAGGCAAUGAGCUGGUAGGUCUUUAUGAUCUGUUCCUCCCACAUCCAAUGUAUCUUUUCCUGUUCUCCCCUUUAUUUUCUCUGUGCCAGCCAUACUGGCUUCCUUAACAUUCUAAAAACCCAGACAGUGUUACCUUAUUGUGUUUGUUCUAAUAACCACUUUAACUCUGACUUGAGCUUCAUCAAAUCCCUCGCUUGCUUCAGGGUUUGCUCAGAUUUUUAUUCUCCAUGAAACCUGCCCUAGCUACUGAAGCCCCACGCUUCCUAUCCUCUCUCUUGGCCUUCCAGGUCCCUCCCAACUGCUCUGAUGUCUUUGGUUAUUUUUUCCAUGGAAUUUAUAAAUUUUUAACAUGCUAUAUACUUUGCUUUCUUAUUGUGUUUUUUACUUAUUUCCCAUCUCUCUCCGAAUACAAUGUGAGCUCCUUGCAAACAGGAAUUUGUGUUCGUUGUAUUCACAGAUGUGUAUGUGUAAGGCACCUGAAUAUUGGCCUAACACGCUGAAAGAGCUCAGUAAAUAUUUGUUAAACAAAUGGGUGAAAUGCAGACACUUAUAGACACUAUUUAGAAGAGAAUAACAUCUACAGAUUUGAACUACUAGGUUGCCCCUGGCAGAGGCAUGGUCAGAGGCACACAGCACAAUAAUAGUGAAACCAGAUUUACCUUGGACACAUUAACCAUUGAUCUUGAUUGAAAACAAGGACAGCAACAAUAAAAUUUGAUACUAAAUCUUUCUUUGAGAAUUUGCAUGAUAGACAUACAGAGAAUAUGGAAUCCUGGCUCUAUGACUAACCAAUGGCGGAAUCUUGGUUAAGUUAUUUAAUUAUUUUCUGUCUCAGUGUCCCAUUUUAAACAUGGAGAUAAAAUAUAUCCCAUGAGGUUGUUUUGAGGGUUAAACAAGAUAACAGAUUUAAAGUGUCUAGAAGAGAGCCUGCACUCGGAGAAUAUUAGCCUUCCUCACCUCUGUGCAUUCUUUGACUUCAAAUUGUUGAACAAGUGCCAAGAUGUAGAAUCUAUCACAGUGAUACCCCUUGAUGUAGGGCAUGUCUGUCAUAUAUUUAAAGAAAUUUUCAAACAACCUCCCUCAUCCUGAAUUCAAAAUGGGGCUUAGAAUGAGGUUCUUAGAAACAUAAUUUAGAGACGCCACCUCUAAAGCAACUCUUAGUUUGGAACCUCGAAUUUCUUGGUCUAUAUUGGAUCCAAACUCGUACAACACACCUCACAUCGUUCCCCAGAGACCCCUAUCCCUCUCCAUUUUCCUUUCCUCUUUCUUCCUCCCUCACCCUUGUACAAUCCAUUAUAACUCAUCUUUCUACCUUCUACAGAACCUGGAACAUGUAUUUGCACAGAAUAGUCACUACAUUUUGCUAAACAAUUAAAUCACUUAGGAAAUGACCCAGCUUUUUGUUCCUCUAUGAUGGCAUGUUUCGAAAAAGGCUGUACUAUUUUAUUAUUUCAGAGUUCUUAUUCCCGUGUUUCAGGGCUGGGACUAAUGAAUAUUUUCCUAGGGAUCUCUAAGUCCAGCUCCCGAUGGCAUCCACCUGGGCUCAGCACUUUAGAUGCAUCUUUCACAAUGUUGUCUCUGUGUGAAUAAAGUCAGCCAAUCCAUGUGGCCACCCCUGGCCCUUGUACCUGCUCUUGUUUUAUAGCUGUUAUCCUUUUGAAAAUGCAUGUUACAGCAUUCACAGAGAAACUAGAGCACUAGAUUGAAACACAGUUUCUCUUCUAAACACACUUCUUCAUUUGCUUAUGUUUUUCUCAGAAGUUUCCUUUGGGAAUUAAAUAUAUUUUUAAUGUUUGUUUCAAGUGGGCUUUUUUUUUUUUUUUUUUUUUUAAGGAAAGCAGCUUUCUUCUUCUCCAAGUACUUUGAUCUUUUUUUUUUCUUGAAAUACAAUUCCUGAAGCUGAAGCUAUAAACAUUAUUUUCUUCCUUGGAAAUAAUUAGGCGCCAUUUUAAAAAGAGAUUUUUAAAGGAGAUACUUAAGCUCAAGUAUGUAAAGAAUGACACACUGUGAAACAUGGGUAUGGUUUUAGGCAUGAGAAACUCUGCUAAAACAUAAUUAUACAAUGAGGAAUUUCUACAUGAUAACAAUUAACAUUUAAGUGGCCAAAUAAUGCCUCACUCUCGUUUUACUCAGAGAUGACCAGGGAAAUGGAGUCUUCUAGUAUAAGUGUGACAUGGCAAUGGGAGGCAUUUUUCAAAAGAUAAUGUAAGAUUGGCAGCUUCUCCAAGUAGGUGUGUUAACUCUUCUUUAGACUGAUGAGGAAAUCCAGUUUCAGAGAGGCAAAGUGACUUGAAAGUAUGUGGUUGUUUGCAGCUUUAAUUUCCUUAUCUGUAAAAGGAGAGCUGUCUGCAUUUUCUCCAUAACAUUAGAAAACAUGGAUUCUUGUAGUUGAGAUCAGCCCAUAUAAAAUCCCACAUAACCAGUAUGUCAGACAAUUGCCUCUGAACUAACUGAAGAGUAGGAAGAAAUACACCCCAUUCAUUCUGAUGGCUCACAUUCUGCUACAGAAGAUGUGUGCCUUCAUGCCUCAUAUCUCCUCAGCCUUCCCUUUUCAUAAACCAGGUAAUGUAAACAAAAAUAAUGUGGCUAUUGUGUUUUAAGAGAUGUGUAGUUAAUUAAUGAGCUAUUAAUGUAACUUUAGUAUAUAAAGUUCCUUUUGAACCUCCUCUUUUUCCUGUCACUCUGAUUCCAUCAAGCUACCCGCUCACCUAGUUUUAAGACAUUGAAUCUAUAAAGUCACUUCCAUAUAAGUACACAAAUAUUCGGCAAGUUAGUUAGACACUGGCACCAUAUGCAGUUCCCCGAAGAGUGACCCUAUUUCAGCAUUAAUACGUCACACUCCCAUAGUUGCACAAGAAAUACUGACAUAAUGCUGAUUCUAUUUCAGUGAUUAGUUUAGGCCCUGAGGCAAGGUAUAUAGGUAAAUUAUGGAACAUUAGAAGUGUUUUAACAGAUACAUAAAUAAAUGCCAUAGGGAGAAAGGGGAAGGUGAGAUUAAUCCUUUUUGCUGGGUCUGGGGAGAGGCACAGGUCUUUAACCAAGGAGGUGAUACUGAAACAGGUGCUCUGGUGAUAGGUAGGAUUCUCAUCUGUACUCAUGGAGAAAGGACAGAGGAAAUUAUCUGAGCACAAGCCAGAGAGAUGGUAUAUUAGUUUCCUGUGGCUGCUGUAACAAACAACCACACAUUUUGUGUCCUGAAACAUCAAAAAUGUAUUCUUUCACAGUUCUGGAGGCCAGAGGUCUGAAAUCCAGGUGCCUGCAGGGGCAGGGCCAAGCUUUCUCUGGGGCUUUAGGAGGGAAUCCUUUCUACUUCCAGUGGUUGUUGGCGUUGCUUGGCUUCCUUG